UUCAACAUCAGUUGCAUAUCCUCCUUUGAUUUUUCUCUCUGUUUUAGUACCGGCGGUUUAUCUUUCUAUUUUCAACCUUCAGUAGCAUGUAUAUCCUCCUUUGAUUCCUCUCUUUAGUUCGGUACCGGCGGUCGUAUCCGCGUUUCUUUUUUCCAAUCAGAUGUGUUUGGUAGCAGAUCUAAGCCGGGGUGGAUGAGAUUUUUGGUAGCGUUACUAGCGUAGUGAAGGCUUUGUUGAUUUGGGUCUGAUUUGGUUCCACGCUUCCACGCGGCUGAUUUUGAUAAACUUAUUAUGAUAUCUGACAAUUUUUUCCUUCAUGUAUUGAUAUGAAUUUCUUUUGUGAUGCAGACCAACAGAGUUUCGAAGAACAAUAUCAUUGGUUAUUGCGAGAUUGAUGUAUUUGAAUUUCUUACUCGGGUGAGUUAUACAGUUUAUUAUUUUUUUGUCAUAUUCUCUGAAUCCUCAUCUCAAGUUCUGUGCAUUUUUCUUGCAUUGUACUCUAUGAAGGUAAACACGAACAAGCAUGCUACAUUCCUUUUGGGUGGUAAGUAGUGAAAGUUUAAUUGCAAAAAAUGCAACGUGUUUCUUUUUGCAGAAACUGAAGUCCAUACUGGGGUAUCUCUUAAUCUCAGAAGAAUUGGUUGGCCAUUACAUCAACUCUAUACCUAUGCAUUCUGUUCUCUGUGUAUUUCUGAUAUAAAUUUAUGUAUGUUUAAGCUUUGCAAUGUCAAUACUCGUUGAGUUGGCCUAUUUGGAGUUAAACCGAUGUCUGAUUGGUUCCUAUGGUAAAUAGAAUAUCACUUUAAUAAUGGUAGUUAUAAAUGUAAGUUUUCAACUAGUUAUUGUUAUCAAUUACCAAAGAAAGGCGUCUAGUUAUCAAUUCUGAUUUGUUUCUCAAGUACUUUAUUAUAUGGAAAAUAUAUUGGAUGAAAAUAUCACCAAUAAACUAUUGAUGGACAUUGCAUCUUCAUAUUGCAUUUAAUAUCUCAAUUUCUUGUAUGCAUCUCUAUAUCCUGAAAAAGUCACCCAAGGUCGUAUGCAAUAUUUUGGGCAUCAUUGCUUCUUGAAGCCCAUAAAAUAUGGCUAAAGGAUUUCUGAUCUGGCCCUUGCACCAAGUUUGAAAUUUUGUUGUGUUUUUUUGGGUUUGGGGGUGUUUUUUAAAGUAACAAUGCAGGGAGUUAACUAAUGUAUCAAAUAGAUACUAGAGAAG
rnacentral:lncRNA from 1 species